UACGUAGGGUGCAAGCGUUUGUCCGGAAUUAUUGGGCGUAAAGAGCUCGUAGGCGGUCUGUCGCGUCUGCUGUGAAAACUCAGGGCUUAACCCUGAGCUUGCAGUGGGUACGGGCAGACUAGAGUGCGGUAGGGGAGACUGGAAUUCCUGGUGUAGCGGUGAAAUGCGCAGAUAUCAGGGAGGGAACACCCGGUGGCGAAGGCGGGUCUCUGG
rnacentral:rRNA from 1 species